CUGGUGCCAGCAGUCGCGGUAAUUCCAGCUCCAAUAGCGUAUAUUAAUGUUGUUGCAGUUAAAAAGCUCGUAGUUGAAUUUCGGGAUUAGUACGUUGGUCGUGCCUUCGGUACGUACUGGUGUUACUGAUUCCUACCUUCUGACGAACCAUCAUGUCAUUAAUUUGGUGUGGCGGGGAAUCAGGACUGUUACUUUGAAAAAAUUAGAGCGUUUAAAGCAGGCUCACGCUUGAGUACAUUAGCAUGGAAUAAUGAAAUAGGACGUUUGAUUCUAUUUUGUUGGUUUCUAGGGAUCGACGUAAUGAUUAAUAGGGAUAGUUGGGGGCAUUAGUAUUCAAUUGUCAGAGGUGAAAUUCUUGGAUUUAUUGAAGACUAACUACUGCGAAAGCAUUUGCCAAGGAUGUUUUCAUUAAUCAAGAACGAAAGUUAGGGGGAUCGAAGACGAUCAGAUACCGUCGUAGUCUUAACCAUAAACUAUGCCGACUAGGGAUCGGAUGAUGUUAAUUUUUAAUGACUCAUUCGGCGCCUUACG
rnacentral:rRNA from 1 species